rnacentral:lncRNA from 1 species
CAGCUGUGUAGAAUAUCCUGUGUUAACACAGAGAGACAUCGCAGCAGUACUCUCCCAGCAUGCCUCAGAUGAGGGUUGUCCAAAGUUCUCACACAAGGAGUUUGAAGCAUUUUGAUCAGUACACUUGGUCAGAAAAGUUAGUCUUUUGAUAACCAAAUUCAAUGGAUACAGACUUAAGAAAUGGUAUACACAAUUCAGAAUUCAUGUAUACACAAUUUCUUUAAAUAAUGCAAGAAACAAAACAAAACAUUUUUACAUAGCAUUUUUCCAAAUUUUCUUUGUUUGAGGUAUAACUGGAGCUCUUUUUUUGUCAUCUUACAGCGACCUCCUCUAAUGUAUUGGCUAAAUAGCACUGACUGGAGAAUCAGUGCUACCAAUUGUUACCAAAAAACACAGGCUUUGUUGAGCAGGCAGGGGGAGCCCCUGAGGAAAACCUACCUGUGCAUGUUAAGAGGCAGAGCCAAGCAUCGACUGUUUCAGAUGGACACAGGGAAACCACCAGCAUUCUAUUUUAAAAGGCAAAAGAUGGAAGAAAAAACUUGAGAUUGAUACAACACAGUGUGACCUCCCACCGUCCUCUCCUCUUUCUCCGAUCCAGAAAACCUCAUCUGCUUUCUACCUCCCAGAGAACUUAAACAGGACACAAACAGCAAUUAAUUAUCCGUUAUCAGUUCCUUUUCUUUUCGUGCAACAUUUCUCCAUUUACCUCAGGGAUUUUCUCCCACUGCCUACCUCCUCCACCGAAUCAGCCAACCCAGUGACAGGAACACACCUGUGACCUCUCACUGCCGUUACCGUGACAACCUAUAUUGCCUCUCAAGCUCUCUUCACCGCAACCGUGACGAGCAGCAAUGACCUUGGACCUCUUGCCACCUGCCAGCUCAGACAUGCUCACUACCUGAACUGUACGGAUCCACACUUGCAGCCGGCCUAGUUGUUACUGGAAGGAAAAUUAUCAUAUUGCCAGAAAGGCAGCUACACACUCACAAUAGCCUCACACUUCAAUAUAACAAACCUGGCAGGCAACUAUAUACCUCCACAAUAGCCUCACACUUCAAUACAAUAUACCUGGCAGGCAACCAUAUACCUCAACACUACUAACUCUAGACAGACAGUCAACAGAAGGGAACUUUUCAGUGACAGCAUUCACUAUCCUGGUGCUUCAGUCCUUCAAGCGGGUAAGACGUCCUCACUAGCCUGGUGCUUCAGUAUACUCAGUAGACAACUCACUUCAGCAUCUUCCAUUUGCCUUAGAGGCGGGAGAAUAGCGACAGUAGCCAGGCAGGCCUCUGAAGAAGCAGGGCGAGAGACUCAGGAGUAUUGACUGGCUGGCAACUUUACUUCAUUGACUUCUCAGAAGAUUACAUCAUACGCAAACUUUCGUGAUGUAAAAGGUAGCAUAAAUCAGCAAUUGCCCACGAGGCCUUCAGAACUCACAGAAGAGACUCAGACGUUCCUCCUGCCUUGGGCUCCUCCAGAGAAGUCGAACCAACCGCGGAGCAGGGGAAGUUUUUGGGGACCUCAUCAGCUUUUCAUAGUCUGGGGGCGAACCACAAAGAAUAGAGAAGAUCCUGGCAGAUUUCACUUCACAAGAAUACCCAUAUUGUGUGACAGUGAGGAGAAAAGGAGGGAAACAAGCAGUAAGAGUGUAGAGAAGAAUGCAGCGGUGAGUUCCUUUUUCUUAUUUUCUACGCUUGUUUAUCAGCAUGCUCUCUUUUAAUUUUUCUUCUCCUCAGUUACAUUGUAUAUCAAAGAGUACAAGAAAGCUUUUCAUAUUUUCAUUUCUUAUCUUUUCAUUUAGAUGGAUCACUAACUGACAUUUAAA